rnacentral:rRNA from 1 species
GUUUGAUCCUGGCUCAGGAUGAACGCUGGCGGCGUGCCUAAUACAUGCAAGUCGAACGAGUUCUGAUUAUUGAAAGGUGCUUGCAUCUUGAUUUAAUUUUGAACGAGUGGCGGACGGGUGAGUAACACGUGGGUAACCUGCCCUUAAGUGGGGGAUAACAUUUGGAAACAGAUGCUAAUACCGCAUAAAUCCAAGAACCGCAUGGUUCUUGGCUGAAAGAUGGCGUAAGCUAUCGCUUUUGGAUGGACCCGCGGCGUAUUAGCUAGUUGGUGAGGUAACGGCUCACCAAGGCAAUGAUACGUAGCCGAACUGAGAGGUUGAUCGGCCACAUUGGGACUGAGACACGGCCCAAACUCCUACGGGAGGCAGCAGUAGGGAAUCUUCCACAAUGGACGCAAGUCUGAUGGAGCAACGCCGCGUGAGUGAAGAAGGCUUUCGGGUCGUAAAACUCUGUUGUUGGAGAAGAAUGGUCGGCAGAGUAACUGUUGUCGGCGUGACGGUAUCCAACCAGAAAGCCACGGCUAACUACGUGCCAGCAGCCGCGGUAAUACGUAGGUGGCAAGCGUUAUCCGGAUUUAUUGGGCGUAAAGCGAGCGCAGGCGGUUUUUUAAGUCUGAUGUGAAAGCCCUCGGCUUAACCGAGGAAGUGCAUCGGAAACUGGGAAACUUGAGUGCAGAAGAGGACAGUGGAACUCCAUGUGUAGCGGUGAAAUGCGUAGAUAUAUGGAAGAACACCAGUGGCGAAGGCGGCUGUCUGGUCUGUAACUGACGCUGAGGCUCGAAAGCAUGGGUAGCGAACAGGAUUAGAUACCCUGGUAGUCCAUGCCGUAAACGAUGAAUGCUAGGUGUUGGAGGGUUUCCGCCCUUCAGUGCCGCAGCUAACGCAUUAAGCAUUCCGCCUGGGGAGUACGACCGCAAGGUUGAAACUCAAAGGAAUUGACGGGGGCCCGCACAAGCGGUGGAGCAUGUGGUUUAAUUCGAAGCAACGCGAAGAACCUUA